ACUCAAAGGAAUUGACGGGGGCCCGCACAAGCGGUGGAGUAUGUGGUUUAAUUCGAAGCAACGCGCAGAACCUUACCUACCCUUAACAUCCCGUGCAACAUGCAGAGAUGCAUGGUUCUCUUCGGAGACGCGGAGAUAGGUGCUGCAUGGCUGUCGUCAGCUCGUGUCGUAAGAUGUCUGGUUAAGUCCAAAAACGAGCGCAACCCUUGUCUUUAGUUACUACCAUUAAGUUGGGGACUCUAGAGAGACUGCCGGUGUUAAACCGGAGGAAGGCGGGGAUGACGUCAAGUCCUCAUGGCCCUUAUGGGUAGGGCUACACACGUACUACAAUGGCAGAGACAAACCGUUGCCAAGUCGAAAGAUGGAGCUAAUCGGAAAAACACUGUCUCAGUCCGGAUUGGAGUCUGCAACUCGACUCCAUGAAGAUGGAAUCGCUAGUAAUCGCUGAUCAGCAAGCAGCGGUGAAUACGUUCCCGGGCCUUGUACACACCGCCCGU
rnacentral:rRNA from 1 species